rnacentral:rRNA from 1 species
UACGUAGGGUGCAAGCGUUGUCCGGAAUUAUUGGGCGUAAAGAGCUCGUAGGCGGUUUGUCGCGUCUGCUGUGAAAACUCAGGGCUUAACUCUGAGCUUGCAGUGGGUACGGGCAGACUAGAGUGCGGUAGGGGAGACUGGAAUUCCUGGUGUAGCGGUGAAAUGCGCAGAUAUCAGGAGGAACACCAGUGGCGAAGGCGCCGCUCUGGGCCGUGACUGACGCUGAGGAGCGAAAGCGUGGGUAGCAAACAGG